UAGGGAAUCUUCGGCAAUGGACGGAAGUCUGACCGAGCAACGCCGCGUGAGUGAAGAAGGUUUUCGGAUCGUAAAGCUCUGUUGUAAGAGAAGAACGAGUGUGAGAGUGGAAAGUUCACACUGUGACGGUAUCUUACCAGAAAGGGACGGCUAACUACGUGCCAGCAGCCGCGGUAAUACGUAGGUCCCGAGCGUUGUCCGGAUUUAUUGGGCGUAAAGCGAGCGCAGGCGGUUAGAUAAGUCUGAAGUUAAAGGCUGUGGCUUANCCAUAGUACGCUUUGGAAACUGUUUAACUUGAGUGCAAGAGGGGAGAGUGGAAUUCCAUGUGUAGCGGUGAAAUGCGUAGAUAUAUGGAGGAACACCGGUGGCGAAAGCGGCUCUCUGGCUUGUAACUGACGCUGAGGCUCGAAAGCGUGGGGAGCAAACAGGAUUAGAUACCCUGGUAGUCCACGCCGUAAACGAUGAGUGCUAGGUGUUAGACCCUUUCCGGGGUUUAGUGCCGUAGCUAACGCAUUAAGCACUCCGCCUGGGGAGUACGACCGCAAGGUUG
rnacentral:rRNA from 1 species